UUGCCAAAAGAGAAAUGCAAAAUUUCCGUAAAGAAUUUGAAUCACUAGGUGGCGUAUCGCGGCAGAAUGCUUCUCUCUCAUUGGUUAGAUUUUCAGAGAAGAAAGAAGGACAAAAUGGCGAAGAAAACACCAAGAAUUUGCUCAAGAAAAACAACAGAGAUGAGAAGAUCUUUUGAAUCUACACUGAAGAAAGGCACCCCAAACGGCAGAUUAGAUACAGAUAACCACUGAACAAAUCAUCUGAAAACUAAGGCUAAUAGGAGAGGAUGAAGAAUACUUCUGUUAAAAGGUUGAAGUAACUGAUGAGCAGGUCAAUCCAACUUGAACUUGAAGUGUAAGUGGGUCUUCAACAAUGUGGACCACUCAAGGACUUUUCUGUUGGUUGAUGAUGGACUACAAACUGAAUAUUUAACAAAGAAAUCCACUUUGGUGCUUAUUGGCUACUAAUGAUGUGAACUUGUGCAUUUAUUAUACCAAGUACUUUUACAUUUCCUUGAUGACACUAGACUUGCAUAUACCGAAUUCAGGUUUAGUUGAUUGAUUGCAGUUCUAAGUUCCUCUCGCAAGAUUAUAUCUCUCAUGUAUGAGACAUCAUUAAAUGCAGACAUUUUCUCUGUCCUCCUGUUGUGACAUGAGAGCUCGGACUUAGUUGUAAAAAUAUUUAUGAUGCAAGAGAAAAUAAAUGGCCAAGCCAAUGUAUGUAAAUGUUGAUAAUAACAUUAAAUAUUCUUUGAUAACUAG